UCCAUGAGCAAAUUUAUACCCUUCUUUAGGCUGCCUGCUACUGCUGCUCACUUAUCCAUUUAGCAGCACAGCUAAUCACAGCGUAAUGAUUAAACGAGCGCUGUGACUCAGCAGGAAACAGCCGAUGUGUUUAACAUCCCAGUGCUCUGCUCUGGCUUCAUGACUCAUGGCUUUACUUGGCAAACGCAUUCGUGCAGCCCAACCGUGCGCUAACUGAACGUACCACAGGAGGUUUCCCACAGACAGCAGUGGUGUUUUAACAGAGAUAAACAUACAUCACUGCAAAUUGCCAAGUGAGGGGAGGUCGAGAUGCAAUGCAUGCUGGGAACUGGAUAGUCUAGCCUUCCUGGAGAAAGAAAUGACACCAUUUCUGUGAAUAAGUUACUUACAAACAAACUCACAGAUGUUUAUGCUAA